rnacentral:rRNA from 1 species
UAGGGAAUCUUCGGCAAUGGACGAAAGUCUGACCGAGCAACGCCGCGUGAGUGAAGAAGGUUUUCGGAUCGUAAAACUCUGUUGUUAGAGAAGAACAAGGACGUUAGUAACUGAACGUCCCCUGACGGUAUCUAACCAGAAAGCCACGGCUAACUACGUGCCAGCAGCCGCGGUAAUACGUAGGUGGCAAGCGAUGUCCGGAUUGAUUGGGCGUAAAGCGAGCGCAGGCGGUUUCUUAAGUCUGAUGUGAAAGCCCCCGGCUCAACCGGGGAGGGUCAUUGGAAACUGGGAGACUUGAGUGCAGAAGAGGAGAGUGGAAUUCCAUGUGUAGCGGUGAAAUGCGUAGAUAUAUGGAGGAACACCAGUGGCGAAGGCGGCACUCUAGUCUGUAACUGACGCUGAGGCUCGAAAGCGUGGGGAGCAAACAGG